GUCUCUUCGGGGAUGAUUAAACCGGCGCACGGGUGAGUAACACGUGAGUGACCUGCCUUUUAGACUGGAACAACUUACCGAAAGGUGAGCUAAUGCCGGAUGAGUUAUAUAAGUGCAUGUUUAUAUAGGAAAAGUUGGGGAGACCUGACGCUGAAAGAUGGACUCGCGUCCCAUUAGCUAGUUGGUAGGGUAAUGGCCUACCAAGGCGACGAUGGGUAGCCGGCCUGAGAGGGUGGCCGGCCACACUGGGACUGAGACACGGCCCAGACUCCUACGGGAGGCAGCAGUGGGGAAUUUUGCGCAAUGCUCGUAAGAGUGACGCAGCGACGCCGCGUGAAUGACGAAGGCCUUCGGGUCGUAAAGUUCUUUCGACAGGGAAGAAAAUGCCUAUAAGUAACUGCGUAUGUAUUGACGGUACCUGUAUAAGCAGCCCCGGCUAACUCCGUGCCAGCAGCCGCGGUAAUACGGAGGGGGCGAGCGUUGUUCGGAGUGACUGGGCGUAAAGAGCACGUAGGCGGUGUUGUAAGUCAUUAGUCAAAGACUAGAGCUCAACUUUAGUAAGGCUAGUGAUACUAUAAUACUAGAGUAUCAGAGAGGAUUGCAGAAUUCCUGGUGUAGCGGUGAAAUGCGUAGAUAUCAGGAGGAAUACCGUUAGCGAAGGCGGCAAUCUGGCUGGAAACUGACGCUGAGGUGCGAAAGCGUGGGUAGCAAACAGGAUUAGAUACCCUGGUAGUCCACGCUGUAAACGAUGGAUGCUAGGUGUUGGGCUUUUAAGUUCAGUGCCGCAGCAAACGCGAUAAGCAUCCCGCC
rnacentral:rRNA from 1 species